rnacentral:lncRNA from 1 species
GUGGAACAAUCGUGCGGUCAGCUCCACCUGCCACAACCCUUCCUGAAAGAUCCAGGCCCACAGAAAAGCCAGGAUCCUGUCUUUAAAGACUGCUCUGCUCUCCCACCUCAUCCUGUGUCCAAUAACCGCACCUUCCAACAGCGUUUCUAACCCUGUUCUCUCCAAGCGUGGCCUGCAGCACCUCUCCAGGCCUCUCCAAUUGUUAGAGAAGGCUUGGAAUGGGCUUUACAAAGGCCUUUCUUGAGGAUAUAAUCACCUGUUCUCUGGUGCAGCUCCAGAGGCUCCCUCAUGCAAAGGCAAAGCUCACCACCUUUGUCCAAGCACAGGUGCUGACAGCUGCCUCACCUUAAGAGUCUCCUUUCGUUAUGGCAUCUGGAAAGAUCUCACAUGGCAGGCCUGCUUCUAGUUCCUUCUUCCUAGUGUGUCUGAGGAAAUCCAAUCUCUCCCACUCCAGCCCGCCUACUCAUUGAACAUGGCUGCUAUCUCUGUCUUCUGGAAACACGGCUCCAAUCCUGCAACAACUCUAUACAAGAGCUCCCAGUGAAAGCUUUCACUAGACCUUGAUGGCACUAUGGUCAUUAUCUUGUCAAAACUGUGGUGGAUUUGAAGAGCUAGUGAUGAAGAAUGGAGGUUUCCUGUCCUAGAAAUAACCAAAGGCCCAGGCUUGGAGGUGGCAGAAAAAGUGGCACUUAAGGAACAUGGACGGAGCUGGAGGCUACUAUCCUUAGCAAACUAAUGCAGGAACAGAAAACCAAAUGCUGCAUAUCUAAGUGGGAGCUGAAUGUUACUAGCCCAGUAUUUGGAAUUUGCCAAAGCUAUAUUCCUCAGAAUUUACUUCAAGAGCUCCUUUGUAUCGGCGGAGAAUGAAGAACGGAGAAGAGGAGGAGGAGGUUGAAAGAAACUUAAGAGAUGUGGCAACUAAUUGCAACGUGUAGAUUGUAUUUAGCUCAUGAUUCACACAAACUAGAUAUUUGUUAUUAAAGAAUUAUGGUUGUUUUUGGUGUGAUAUUAGUAUUGUGCUCACAUUUCUUAAGAAUCUAUCUUUAGAGAUAGGUGCUGAAAUUCUUGCAGAUGAAAUGACAUUAUCAUCUGAGAUGUGCUUCAAAAACAGUUAAAGGAGAUAUCGAUAAGAUGGCCUUGAAUUCACAAUUGCUGAAGAUGGGUAUAGGCCACAUGGAGUUUUAUUAUAAUCUUUUCUCUCCUUUUAUAUUGUUUGUAGUUUUCCAUUAUAAGUUAAAAUGAAGAAAAUAAGUCAACCAACAUGAAGCGGUCAGUGAGAUUCUUACGGACAUCCCAGCUUUGCCUCUUAUCCGCCUGACAUAGUCAUGGAACU